rnacentral:rRNA from 1 species
GACGAACGCUGGCGGCGUGCUUAACACAUGCAAGUCGAACCGAAAGGCCCUGCUUUUGUGGGGUGCUCGAGUGGCGAACGGGUGAGUAACACGUGAGUAACCUGCCCUUGACUUUGGGAUAACUUCAGGAAACUGGGGCUAAUACCGGAUAGGAGCUCCUGCUGCAUGGUGGGGGUUGGAAAGUUUCGGCGGUUGGGGAUGGACUCGCGGCUUAUCAGCUUGCUGGUGGGGUAGUGGCUUACCAAGGCUUUGACGGGUAGCCGGCCUGAGAGGGUGACCGGCCACAUUGGGACUGAGAUACGGCCCAGACUCCUACGGGAGGCAGCAGUGGGGAAUAUUGCACAAUGGGCGGAAGCCUGAUGCAGCAACGCCGCGUGCGGGAUGACGGCCUUCGGGUUGUAAACCGCUUUCGCCUGUGACGAAGCGUGAGUGACGGUAAUGGGUAAAGAAGCACCGGCUAACUACGUG